rnacentral:rRNA from 1 species
UGGGGAAUUUUGGACAAUGGGCGAAAGCCUGAUCCAGCAAUGCCGCGUGUGUGAAGAAGGCCUUCGGGUUGUAAAGCACUUUUGUCCGGAAAGAAAUGGCUCUGGUUAAUACCUGGGGUCGAUGACGGUACCGGAAGAAUAAGGACCGGCUAACUACGUGCCAGCAGCCGCGGUAAUACGUAGGGUCCAAGCGUUAAUCGGAAUUACUGGGCGUAAAGCGUGCGCAGGCGGUUGUGCAAGACCGAUGUGAAAUCCCCGCGNUACUUAGGAUUGGCAUUGGUGACUGCACGGCUAGAGUGUGUCAGAGGGGGGUAGAAUUCCACGUGUAGCAGUGAAAUGCGUAGAGAUGUGGAGGAAUACCGAUGGGCGAAGGCAGCCCCCU